CCUACGGGAGGCAGCAGUGAGGAAUAUUGGGCAAUGGACGAGAGUCUGAACCAGCCAAGUAGCGUGAAGGAUGACGGCCCUAGGGGUUGUAAACUUCGUUUAUGUGGGAAUAAAAUGUUCCACGUCAGGGCUUUUGCAUGUACCAUAUGAAUGAGGACCGGCUAACUCCGUGCCAGCAGCCGAGGUACUACGGAGGAUCCGAGCGUUAUCCGGAUUUAUUGGGUUUAAAGGGCGCGUGGGUGGAUUUUUAAGUCAGUUGUGAAAGUUUGCGGCUCAACAUUAAAAUUGCAGUUGAAACUGGCAGUCGUGAGUACAGUAGAGGUGGGCGGAAUUCGUGGUGUAGCGGUGAAAUGCUUAGAUAUCACGAAGAACUUCGAUUGCGAAGGCAGCUCACUGGACUGCAACUGACACUGAGGCUCGAAAGUGUGGGUAUCAAACAGGAUUAGAUACCCCAGUAGUC
rnacentral:rRNA from 1 species